GGUUUGUUAGCUGCCUACGUGGUAUAUCAGGUUCUGUGCAGUAAUGAGCUAUCAUCAGUUCUCAACAUAACUUCCUUUAUGAUCUCAUUUCUCAGGGGUGGGCGGAUGCAGAGAAAACCACCAGAGGAAGUAAAUCAACUCCCGGGGUCAUCCACUGCUCACAGUGCAGCUACCUUCAACAAUCUGUAUUAAGUAUCAUGAAUCCAACUCUAUGCAUUUUAUUUGUUAAACAAGUGCCAAUUAAGGGGGAAAUGGAGACAAAAAUAGGAUGAAUUGAGCAAACGAUGAGAAAACAGUUUUAAAAACUCCACCAGAUAAAGACAAUCUUAUAACUCCUUUUGGAAACCUGGUCACAAAAGAACAAAAAUGGUCUUUUCCGAAUCACCUCCUAUGUUAAUUUUCUAAUCUCUGUGGAAGAAACUAAUAUUUAAAGCACACGCUGCCCAGCUUUCACAAGGUCUAUGAUAAUUAUUUUAACUGUUCCAACAACCAGCCAGUAUGUCUUUUGAAUACAUUUCUGUCCUUUAUUAGAACUAUUUAUUCACUUCUCAUAUGGUAUCAUUUAUACAAAAUCUGUAAUAAUUAGAUAAUAUGAAAUGAGUUGUUAUGAAAAGUUUGUGUGUUAAACACAAUCUUAUUCCAACUUUGAAUGAGGUAAAAUAUCAAAGAGCUAAAUGUCUUUAGUGUAUUAUAAUUUCAUCAUAUACCAGGCUUUCUUACUCAUUAAAUAUCUACUUGACAGCUACACAAAAAAAAUUAAGCAGUGGUAUGCUUCACACUUAAAAAUGUGAAUGAAUAACUUAAAGUGAUUUUGUAAGUUCACUGGUAGUUCUUGAAUUUUAAAAAUUCAUUUUCAAAGAAUUAACCUAUGGAGGUAACGGGAGGUGUGUAAAAAAAAAACUGCUAGAUGAAAAAUGGCAGAAGGAGCUCCCAAAUAACGAUGGGAGACAAUAGAGAUUGGAUUAAGUUUUUCUUAAACAUCUGGAAGAUCUGUCCAUGAUCACCAAGAGCAGCUGACACCGUAUGCCAGUAAACGUACUAACAUACAGAACAGGGAAUGUGCAGGGCGCCCAAGAGCAUACAGGAGUUCAGUACUGAGGCAGUGAAUCCUGGCUGGGAGGAGGAGAGUCAACUCUUAUCUGAAGGAUAACUCGUUAAUUUAUUCAAGGCAUUCAGGACCUACUGCAUCCCAGGCACGGACUGGCAAUGAGAAUACAGUAGUGAAUAUAAACAAGCAUUGUCUUUGCCCUCAUGAAGCUUCUAGUCUACCAAGAGAAAGAUAACACAAUUUGAGUACAAAUGCUGCGAAGGAGAUGUAUGGAGGACAAUAAAGGAGAGCGCCUCGGCCGAUCAGGAACACCUCUCUGAGGAAGGUCUAUUUAAGAACGGCCUGGAGAGUGAGCAGUCAGCCACAGGAGGAGCAGAGGGACAAGCAUCCCAACCCACGGAAUGUCAACCUGUGACAGCAGUGGUUGGAUGGCAAGGUGGGGAGUGUGCUGUGAGAACUGAAAGGCCAGUGCAGCUGGAAGCACAGUGAGGACUCGGGCACACAGGGCCUUGUUAACACAUACGGUUGGACAUUACUCCAGAACAUCAGAAGUUUCAACACACAAGGACAUCAUGGUCUUACAUGUUUUCAAAAUAUUCCCUGGGCUGCUGUGCAGAGAACAAGUCCCAGAGAAGAGGCUGCUGCAGUCAUCCCAAGAGAGGGCGAUGCUUGGCCCAGUAGGAAAGCUACAGAUAGGACUUUUUUUUUUUUUUUUUUUAGAUAAUUAUUUUUUAUUGAAUGGUAGUUGACACACACUAUUACAUUAGUUUCAGGUGUACAACACAGUGACUCAACAUUUAUAUACAUGAUAAUUCUAGGUACCAGCUAUCACCAUACCAAGUUGUUACAAUAUUUUGACUAUAUUCCUUAUGCUAUACAUUAUAUCCCGGUUACUUAUUUAUUUUACAAUUGGAAGUGUGUACUUUUUUUUUUUUUUUUUGUGAGGGCAUCUCUCUUAUUUAUUGAUCAAAUGGUUGUUAACAACAAUAAAAUUCUGUAUAGGGGAGUCAAUGCUCAAUGCACAAUCAUUAAUCCACCCCAAGCCUAAUUUUCGUCAGUCUCCAAUCUUCUGAAGCAUAACGAACAAGUUCUUACAUGGAGAACAAAUUCUUACAUAGUGAAUAAGUUACAUGGUGAACAGUGCAAGGGCAGUCAUCACAGAAACUUUCGAAUUUGCUCAUGCAUUAUGAACUACAAACAGUCAGUUCAAAUAUUAAUAUUCAUUUGAUUUUUAUACUUGAUUUAUAUGUGGAUACCACAUAUCUCUCUUUAUUAUUAUUAUUUUUAAUAAAAUGCUGAAGUGGUAGGUAGAUACAAGAUAAAGGUAGAAAACAUAGUUUAGUGCUGUAAGAGAGCAAAUGUAGAUGAUCAGGUGUGUGCCUGUUGACUAUGUGUUAAUCCAAGCUAGACAAGGGCAAUAAAACAUCCACGUAUGCAGAAGAUUUCUCUCAGAACGGGGGGUGUGAGGUUCUAAGCCUCACCUCUGUUGAUCCCCAAUUUCUCACCUGAUGGCCCCCCUGCGACUGUGCCUGUCUUAGGUUGUUCCUCCCUUGAGGAAUCUUACCCGUCUCUGGCUAACCAGUCAUCUUCCGGAGCCAUACAGGGAAAUGUAAAGUUGGUAAGUGAGAGAGAAGCCUUAUUGUUUGAAAAGGUUAGCUUUUUACUUCUUUGAAUAUUUAUGCCCUGUGGCUUCUAUGCCCAGCAUUUGUCUUGAGGUAUCUUUACCACUUGGAAGAAUUAUGAUACUCGGUAAAUUCGAUAUGAGGGAUGAAUUCUAUUUAAGGGUUGUAAUUAGGAAGGAAGAAGAAAAGCUAUAGAAGUAGCAGGCGGAAGAAAGAUAGGACAUUUUUAUGAAGUGAAAACAACAGGAUCCCCCAAAAAGAGAGAAAAGAAAUGAAACAACUUAUUUAUCAACUGGAUGAGGGAAUGAGGGAAAGGAAGAAAUCAAAACUGAGCUGAGCAAGAUGGAGAAGAGUUAAUAGAGUUAAAGAAGGAAUCAGUUCAAUGCCAUAGGUGCUGAGUUUGAGAUUCCUAAAGGACAGCCCAGCAGAGAUGUAAGCUGAGCAGGUGGAGAUGUAAAGUCUAGAGGUCAGAGGGGAGGUGGGUCUGGGCUUUCCAUGUAAAUCUGUAGUUAGUAUGGUCUGCUUUUGGUCUGCUUUUGGAAGUACAUAUUCAGUUAUAUACACACUUCUAGAAUUCUUAGUUAGAUUUUUGAGAGAACUGGAAAGAGUCAGUAAAAUAUGACACUUUUUAAUCUAUUUAAUGCCUUUUGGGGUAUGGGGUCAAAUGCAGAAUUUUAAAACUAGAAUGCUUUUACAUAGCUAAAAUAACAUACUGAAAAAACAAAACAAAACAACCCAAACCUAUGGUUUCCUAAGGGAACAUUUCAAAUGGGGCAGGAUAAAUACAAUGGAGUAAAACAUAAUUAUAAAACUCUCUCCAUAACUUCGCAGUUGUAAGAUGUCACAUAAGACAAACCCUAUUUUAGAAUCACAUAGGAGUCAAUUAUUUUACAUUUCCCUCCAAUUUCUCUAUUGGUUUUAUCCUGGUAUCUCUUUCAUAAAGACUUUUGUAAUACCUUUUUUUUUUAAAGAUAGAAAACUAUAGUCCUUGUGAAAGCUGUAAAUCAGUGACUGACAACAUUGAUAAAGUUUGUCAAAGAAAUGGAAAGAAUUUGGUGCAUCUCACUUGCGCGAACAUUUCAGUCUUCUGUGUGUGGUUAUAGAGACUUCCUGCUCUCUUCUGAGGGAGCUUCUGUGCUAACUAUAAUGGUUUAAUCUGUUCUGGGUAAUGCAAUGUGGUUAUAUCUCCAAAAGAGAUAUUCUGAAAAAUUAUUAUUCAUCAUUUAAAGCUAUGUAGACCUUCACUGGAGAAGGGCAAUUAAAAAUAAAUUUAAAAGGAAAAGCAA